UUUUUUUUUGCUUGGGUAGUAAUAGUUAAGUUCUUGAAACUCAAAAAAUUUGGCGGUAUUUUAGUCUAUUCAGAGGAACCUGUAACGUAAUUGAUAAUCCACGUUGGACCUUACUUAACUUUGUUUUCAAUUUGUAUACCGCCGUUAUUAAAAAUUUUAUAAGAAUAAUAAUUUUUAAAGAUUUUUAUUAGAAAAUAAAUCAGGUCAAGGUGCAGUUUAUAGUUAAGUGUUUUAUGGGUUACAAUAAAUUUAUUUAUAUGGAUUAGUAUUUGAAAUAAGGCUAUGAAAGUGGAUUUGAUAGUAAUUUUUAACAGAUUAUAAGAUUGAUUAUAGCUCUAAAAUAUGCACACAUCGCCCGUCACUUUUACUAUUAAUGUAAGAUAAGUCGUAACAUAGUAGAUGUACCGGAAGGUGUAUCUAGAAAGACAAUUUAAAGCUUAUUUAGUAAAGUAUUUCAUUUACAUUGAAAUGAUUAUUGUGCAAAUCAAUAUGAAUUGAUGAUAAAGAAUUAUUAAUAAUUUAGUUUUUUUUCAAUUAUAUUAAAAAUAAUUUUAAUUUGUGUUUUAGUAUUGUUUAAAGAAUAAAUAAUUUUUAUUAUAGAGUAUUAUAGUACUGUGAAGGAAUUU
rnacentral:rRNA from 1 species